rnacentral:rRNA from 1 species
UAAUACAGAGACUGCAAGCGUUGUUCGGAUUCACUGGGCGUAAAGGGUGCGCAGGCGGCCGGGUGUGUCGGGUGUGAAAGCUCGAGGCUUAACCUCGAAACUGCGCCCGAAACUAUCCGGCUAGAGUACUGGAGAGGGAAGCGGAAUUCACGGUGUAGCAGUGAAAUGCGUAGAUAUCGUGAGGAACACCAAUGGCGAAGGCAGCUUCCUGGACAGUUACUGACGCUCAGGCACGAAAGCGUGGGGAGCAAAAGGGAUUAGAUACCCCUGUAGUCCACGCCCUAAACGGUGCAUACUAGCUGUUGGAGGAAUCGACCCCUUCAGUGGCCAAGCUAACGCGAUAAGUAUGCCGCCUGAGGACUACGGCCGCAAGGCUA